rfam:Camelus ferus unplaced genomic scaffold scaffold265, whole genome shotgun sequence.
GAAGGUAUAGCUCAAGUGGUAGGGCACACGCUUAGCAUGCACAAGGUCCUGGGUUCAAUCCCCAGUGCCUCCU